rnacentral:rRNA from 1 species
UGGGAACUAAAAAAUCGUAACAAGGUCUCCGUUGGUGAACCAGCGGAGGGAUCAUUACUGAGUUACCGCUCUAUAACCCUCUGUGAACAUACCUAACUGUUGCUUCGGCGGGCAGGGGUCCCCACCGCGGGUCCCCUCCCGGCCUCCGCCCCCUCGGGGGCGGGGCGCCCGCCGGAGGUCACCAAACUCUAUCUCGACGACGUUUCUUCUGAGUGGCACAAGCAAAUAAUUAAAACUUUCAACAACGGAUCUCUUGGUUCUGGCAUCGAUGAAGAACGCAGCGAAAUGCGAUAAGUAAUGUGAAUUGCAGAAUUCAGUGAAUCAUCGAAUCUUUGAACGCACAUUGCGCCCGCCAGCAUUCUGGCGGGCAUGCCUGUUCGAGCGUCAUUUCAACCCUCAAGCACCGCUUGGUUUUGGGGCCCUACGGUCGACGUAGGCCCUUAAAGGUAGUGGCGGACCCUCCCGGAGCCUCCUUUGCGUAGUAACUAACGUCUCGCACUGGGAUCCGGAGGGACUCUUGCCGUAAAACCCCCCAAUUUUCUAAAGGUUGACCUCGGAUCAGGUAGGAAUACCCGCUGAACUUAAGCAUAUCAA